GCAAAUACCAUAUACAAACUCAAAUACCAACCAUACAUAUUGUACUUUUAGGAUGUAUAAUAUACAUAUACGACAUAUAUUAUACUAUACUAUACUUUAGUCACUGUGUAGAAAUUCAUUAAAUAUUGCAAACCUAAGCCCUCUAACAUCCCCACAUGUUUCAGUCUUGAAAUUAAAAAAAAAGCAUUAGAAUCAUACCCAACCCCACCACAACAUAUUAUUAAUGCAACAAAACACAUGUGGGGGACCAAACUGUAGAUAUAAAGAAAUGCCUUCACUCUAAUCAACUAAAGCUUUCACUUUUGCACUGUUCUAUAAUUGCUAUACAACAGAGAAGGGUUUCAUAUUCGAUUGCGAUUUUUGAUUCAAUUGCGGUUACUGUUUGAGCAUUGAUUGUCGAGAUUUGGGUCAAUUUUUGAUUUAGGGUUGCAGCAGCUUU
rnacentral:lncRNA from 1 species